UGUCUUAAUUUUUUCUUCAUCAAUGGACUUUUGUAGUGAAUCUCAAAGUUAAAGAGAGACAAAGUGACCGUCCGUCCAUAAUACAUAGAACAAGAAAUUAUACGUAGAAUUAUUUUGUGUUCAACGAAUAUUAAUUAUUAUUGUGCGAGGUGAGAUACAGAAUACGACUGAAUAUGCUUCAAGCUAGAAAUUAAUGUGAAUAACGAAUUUUUAGAUAUGUUUAUACGUCAUAAGUGUACUUACUUAGCAAAGGCUAGUCUUUUGUAUUGGAGAAUAAUUUGUGCAUAAUAGGUAUUUUAUAAUUGUAAAUAGAGGCAUUAUUUUCAUAAUGUGUAUAAUAUUAGCAAGGGUACCUGAAGGAGAGACAGGCGCAAACAUAUAAUACAUCGUUGUUUGUCUUGGCUGCCUCGAUAAAUAUGUUGGCGUGUGCCAUCUGGUGAUAUAAUAUCUGGCCGUCCAUCUCUUAAUUGAUUAAUAACAAUGGUCAUAAUUUUUUCAUUAAAUAAAAAUAUUGUAUUUUUGAAGUGAAAACUUCUUUAGCGGCGCUGUGCACUUUUUGUGAUGGGGAAAAAAUGUUAAACUCGCGACAGUUCAUGUGACCGUAAGAUUCGUAAGACGGACACGUGAUCUGAUCGAAAAACUGUUACAAUGUCAUUUGAGUUUUCACUUCUGCCGGCACUCCCGGAGUGCAACCCGUUGUUUUUUUUGUGAACCUUACUGCCGAACUUAAGGUUUUUAUUUGUUUAUGAAUGUUGUGCCAGUUACUUAUAAACAUAGAUUUAAUUUAAUUCAGAAAAAAUAACUAGUAUUUUUAAUGGAAUAAUGCUCAGUUUUUUACACGCGUCACAGUACCUACGAGGGAUAUUAAAAUGAACCUGAAUUACCUAAACAGACUAUUGCAUUUACAUCGGCCGUAUUGCUAUUGGUUUAAAAUCAGUACACGUACAGUGAAGUGUAAAAA